CGGAGUGUAGCGUAGUGGCCACGCACUGGUUUCGGGAACCAGACCACGGAGGUUCGAUUCCUCCCUCUCCGA
rnacentral:tRNA from 2 species